GUUGUGUGUCUUCCUGUCGUCCUGAUUACAUGUACCACGACCAACGUUCCCUCCAUGUAUUAUUUGAACUUCUGUUUAAAAAACAGGAGUGGAGAUAUGAAAAGUCUGGAGCUGCAUCACGACUUCGACGGUGUUGCUGUGAGAUGUCGUAAAUCUGCCAAAGCACAGCCUGCUGGUUUUUCAGUCAAGGAAAGAGCUUAACGCCGAACCCCAUGAGAACAUUGCAAAACCUUUGAGCUCCGGUAACUAUUACCUAAUCUGGAGGUUUCUUCAAGUUUCAUCAACACCGGACUGAAACGACAGCAGACGUCCAGGCCGACCGAGUUUUACCAUGACCUAAGCGAGCAUGUCAAGGUCUCUGAUACAGGAACAUCUGCACUUCACGCUGCUACGCGUCGUCUCGCAAUAAAAAAUAACACACCAUGUCCAAGGUUUAUUAUAUCUACCCCGGAUACAGAUAUCUGUACUGUGUCUCAUCAGAUGUGAAGUAAGGUGACAAAAAGGCCAGGGGGAGCGUUGGGCUGAAUCUUUCCCUAUGUCCUGAGUCUUGUGUACAUUCAAAAUGUGUGUGUUUCCUCAAGGGUGGCCCACCGCGGUCUGUCCCAAUGAAUCCCAAAUUACACUUAAAACGUACUGUAGGCUUGAUAGCAUCCGCAUGUUAUCAUUUAGCUAAAAUCACCUGAGAGGGUACAGUUUAGAUCAAGUGUUUUGGUGAACCCUUUAAAAAUGUCUACAUGGAAGAUCUGGGCAUGUGGAAUGAUCAGGUUGGAUGGAAGCCUGUUCCACUCGGGGUCGGUUAGUGUGGACACUCAGUCUGCGAAUAAAAUCAUAUAUUGCGUAUUUUGUUAGCUGCGACUCACAUCAGGGACCAACGCUGUCACCUGUAUGUCAGCAGGACGAGACGAAUCCAGCUCCACCUGAUGUUAGCUUUGUUUAGGUCCUGUCACCUUCAACUCCCCACGUACAUGCGACGACACAGUUCGUCUCGUCCCACGCGUCAACAUCCAGCGUCUCGCCCAAACUCACCUUUUCAGCACAAAUUGCACUGCAUAUAGACGGUACAACCUGUUUGCUGUUCCUGUUUGUGCCGAUACAGGAACACUGUGUAUUCUUGGAAGAUUACUGACCAGUCAUUCUAGUGUCUCGUGCAUUUACUCCUUUUUGGCUUGGCGGAGACCAAAAAAAAAGAUCUGUGCAAGUUAGUGGAAACAUUAUUCAUGCGUGACUUGUUCAGUCUUUGUAAUUUAUUUGAAAAAGGGAAUAUCCUAUCAUUCGCCCGUCAAUGUCAUAUCCACGCAUAAAUCAGCCAAUCAGCUAAUUUUGGUUGUUUCAGUUUUAAAUACUUAAAGUCUCAAGAGACUCACAUUUCAUACAUCUGUUCCCCUGUGCAACACGCCCCUCUCUUGCCCACACAUUCGAAGUUGCCCUGAGUGUGUCAGCCAAAGGCCUAAAAAGUAAAUGUAAAAUGAGAUGUACUGUAACACUCCAUUAAUAGUAUCUCGAUGUUCUCCGGCAGGGGUGUAAUUUAUGGAGGGGACACGGGGCACAUGCCCCCGCCCACUUUUUACAGUCACAAAACGAAUGUUAUGCAAAUGAAUUGGAAGAAAGUGCAGGCAGUAGUAUUCCAAAAAUGCAACGCCUGUUUAAGCUUAAAAAAACAAAUUAAAUUAAAAACAAAAAAACCUGAAAUGUCCAAACCGCCCGAAUUACAGAAGACCAGGGUGAAAAGAGGAGCUGCAGGAAUGGGCUGUGUGAGGACACCGAUGGGUUUUUGGAAAAUUAUAGCUAUAAACCUGUUCAAGUGGUGAUCCAAAUUAAAAGUAUGAACCUGGAUAUGAACAUUAUAUGUCACCUUUAAAAGGUUCAGUGUGCCGGAUUUGAUGGCAUCCUACUGUAUACUAUCCCAUGCAUGUCAUGGGUCUUAGCGCCAUAGAGACUUCACAGACUAUCACAUCACUUUCUCAUUCCUCUUUAGGGUUUCCCCACCUUUGAGAUCAAAAUCCCCCCCUGCUCCCAGGAGUCUUCAUGUUUACUGAUGUGACAGUGUUUGUCCUAAAAUGUGGCCUAAUCAGCACUGACAAAUUAAGUAACAUAGAUCAACCAAAAAUGUGUUGCAGUUGGUUUCUUUAAAUCCGCGAGUUCUUCCCAAACUGAUAUGUGCAAGAGUAAGUUGUCCAAUUUCAUAAGCCUAGAAGCGAGCCCUUAGAAACAAAAGCUGUGUCAGAUGAGAAAUGGAAACCCAGAGCAGACACGUUGAGGGUGUCAAGGUGUUGAAUGUCAGUCAGAAGAAAAAAAAGCGCAUAUCACAUGCCAAGGGGGUUCUCGUUGAACUUUCUCGGUAGGCUUGGUGACUUAUUUUGGGCAACGAAAGAAAGUUAUGACUGCUUUUUUCAAAAAGUCACAAGAGGAGGAAAUUAUUCAUUGAGAUUUCACUUCCUUGUAGUAAAUGACAGUUUCAUUUAUGACAGGAGGGAAAGUGGUUUGACAGGAAACAAAGAUAUUUUCAGUAAAUGUACCGUAAAAUCAAUAAAAAGCUGUUUCCCCCUUUUUGAGGACAGGCUUACCUGCUGGUAAACACUGUGUGAGCGUGUUCGGAGUCCAAGUUCAGACCAUGCAACGACGCAAUUCACCGUCCUUUUCCCUGUAUCACAACACAGACAUUGUCUCGAGGUCGUAGGUCGAGACCUCACAAUAUUACAGAGAAACAGUUCCCCCAAUGAGCAAGCACUCGGCGGCGGUGGAGAGAAAACUCCCUUUGAAACAGGACGAAAACUUAAUCAGAACUAGACCCAGAGUCGGCGGACAUUUUCCUCGACUGGGUUUGGUUGAGAGGAGAGAAAUCGGGGAGAGUUGAGAGAGAGAGAGACCGGGAACAGUCGUGUUACCGUUGUGUUUAAGCUCUGUCAGACUGUUUGUUAUGAUGACAAUAAUAAUAAUAACGGUGACACUUUUAAAUGUAACGCUAUUGUUAAUGAUAGCACCAGUUAACAAUAGUUGUAAUUAUGAAGUAAUAGGAUACUACAACCGAUGAUGAUAAUAAUAACAACAACAAAAAGAAUAAUAUUAAAAAUAUUUCUUUCAGCAGCACUGGAGAUACCUGCAGAAGAAGAACACUCGCACACACACACACACACACACACACACACACACACACACAGGGAGAGAGAGAGAGAGAGAGAGAGAGAGAGUAGAGGAAGUGUGUUCCCGUCUCAGCCCAUCACCUGAUCCGGCCCCUCCCUACACACCUGGUCUCUCCUUCCCACAUCGGGCCGCUCCUGUCGCUCUAAGGCUUCCUUGACUUCUGGUGUGUCAUGUAUGUGAGUCACUGUCACACUCCCGUUUACUUAACUUGCUUGACUGUGGUUUUGACCCAAUGUUACCGCCCGAAUCGUGUAAUCUGAGCCGCUGUAUUAUACAAAUGUGACACUGUGACCGUCUGCAUAACACAUUUUUUCUUUUCAGAUUCUUAAUAUAUUCCCUGUUGAUAUAAUAACGGCAAAAUUAAAGACAAUGUGAAGAUACUAGAAAGCGUACCUGUGGAUGUGAUGUGUCAUGUUCUAUCAUGGCAGCAGUUAAGUACACCAGUUUCUCAUGCACUAACAACCAAUAAAAUAGAGCUGUAAACAUCAGUCUAGUAUUAGUACUGACUGGUAUUAAGCUUUGUGUGUCCGGGUGGAAAAAACAAAAGUAAAAAUCUGACUGACUAAUGAGUGUGUUCAUUACCACAGUUAAACACAACGUAUCUUGAAACAAUAUUAAGGUAACACUUAUGUUUAUUGUAUUAUGACUGCAGCCGGUAAAAUGACUUCCCUUUGUGUGUAAGUCAUUCUGAAUGGGUUUAUUGCAAUCCAGCAGAUUGAGAUCUAGAUCCAUGAUGUUGGCUCCACUUUUUACCGACGGUGGCGUCGCUUCCCUCUGCUGCAGUCAC